rnacentral:misc_RNA from 1 species
GAUGAAGAACGCAGCGAAAUGCGAUACGUAAUGUGAAUUGCAGAAUUCAGUGAAUCAUCGAGUCUUUGAACGCACAUUGCGCCCUCUGGUAUUCCGGAGGGCAUGCCUGUCCGAGCGUCAUUGCUGCCCUCAAGCACGGCUUGUGUGUUGGGCUCCGUCCCCCGAUCCCGGGGGACGGGCCCGAAAGGCAGCGGCGGCACCGCGUCCGGUCCUCGAGCGUAUGGGGCUUUGUCACCCGCUCUGUAGGCCCGGCCGGCGCUUGCCGAUCAACCAAAUUUUUAUCCAGUUUGACCUCGGAUCAGGUAGGGAUACCCGCUGAACUUAAGCAUAUCAAUAAGCGGAGGA